CAGUAGCCGCGGUAAUACGUAGGUGGCAAGCGUUGUCCGGAAUUAUUGGGCGUAAAGGGCUUGCAGGCGGUUUCUUAGGUCUGAUGUGAAAGCCCCCGGCUCAACCGGGGAGGGUCACUGGAAACUGGGAAACUUGAGUGCAGAAGAGGAGAGUGGAAUUCCACGUGUAGCGGUGAAAUGCGUAGAGAUGUGGAGGAACACCAGUGGCGAAGGCGACUCUCUGGUCUGUAACUGACGCUGAGGAGCGAAAGCGUGGGGAGCGAACAGGAUUAGAUACCCGAGUAGUCCCUGUCUCUUAUAC
rnacentral:rRNA from 1 species